AUUGAACGCUGGCGGCAGGCCUAACACAUGCAAGUCGAGCGGAGUGGCGGACGGGCGAGUAAUGCAUAGGAAUCUGCCUGGUAGUGGGGGAUAACGUCCGGAAACGGGCGCUAAUACCGCAUACUUUCAGAUGAGCCCAGAUGGGAUUAGCUAGUUGGUGGGGUAACGGCUUACCAAGGCGACGAUCCCUAGCUGGCCUGAGAGGAUGACCGGCCACACUGGAACUGAGACACGGUCCAGACUCCUACGGGAGGCAGCAGUGGGGAAUAUUCCGCAAUGGGCGAAAGCCUGAUGGAGCAAUGCCGCGUGAGUGAGGAAGGCCUUCGGGUGGUAAAGUACUUUCAGCGGGGAGGCGGUACCCGCAGAAGAAGCACCGGCUAACUCCGUGCCAGCAGCCGCGGUAAUUC
rnacentral:rRNA from 1 species